rnacentral:lncRNA from 1 species
UUCUCAGCAGAUUUAGUGUUGGCAUAGACCACUUAAAAUAAAUUGAUAGGAAAAUGCUUAUGACCCUAACAACACCCAAAAUACAUAUGGCUCUGUCGCGAUCCAAAAUCCACCUAGUUGUAAUGGAACCUAACUCAACCCUCUAGGUAAACAAAAUAAUAGUUAUACAAUUCUAAUGAAAGAAAAUCAAUAAAUAAAAUAGCUGAAUUUCCAUUAAAUAUCCUAAGGAUUUGGUAGUACAAGUAAUGAGCCACAAAAUUUAGAUUCACAAAUACAACGUCUGUUUGAAAUAUACAUAAAAUACGAAUCCAAAACUAUCAAGGACAAGUGGUAGCUAUAACUGGAAGACAGGUACAUCUUCAAUACCAUCUUCUGCCAUCCACAACAACUCAGCUCCAAGUUCUGCAUGCAAGGUGCAGAAGUGUAGUAUGAGUACAACCGACUCAUGUACUUAGCAAGUAACAUAACUAACCUCGAUGAGGCAAUAGAAGCAAGGAUUAUCAAUGAUACUCGCUAAUAACAUGCUCAAUUCCUGAAUUUCACAUGUACACAACAAUGGUGCCAUCUAAUCAUAUAAUACAGAUUAAACCACAACGGUGGACAAAGAGAUAAUGUGCUAAAUCCUGAACAAGUUAACAAUGCAGCAUAUAAAGGAUAUACAUGUGAAAUAUCAGAAAUCCUUCAUCAGUUGCAUAUAGAGAAGAUAUGCAUGAAACAUCAAUUUAUCCUUCAACAAUUGCAUAUAGCGAAGAUAUGCAUGAUUAAACAAGUCAAGCCACGUGGAUUCACAUAUAGAGAAGAUAUAUACAAUGUCUCAUCUCCUCAAUUAGGAUAGCAUAUAGAGAAGAUAUGCAUAAAGGCAUGUAUACAUUCUGGAAAUAGUAAAUAUAGAAGAGAUGCAGUAAAAUUAUGUAUACAUCCAACGAAAAUGCAAGUAGAGAAGAAAUGCAAUAACUAAAAUAAAUACUGGCCAGUUUUUCUCAUACCGCGUGCACACUAUCAAGAGAGAAACAUGAAAGGGUGACCCUAGGGGGAUGAAUCCUUAUCCAUAGAGUUGGAAAUAGGGCGGUGCGGGUGCAGAACUGGCGCGUUUAAGCCUAUGCGGGGCAGGAGCUUGAAGAACACAAUUGUGGGGCUGAGCGGGGGUGGGGCAGGAUGAAGCAAAUCUUUUUAAAGUUUUAGUCGAGAGGGG